rnacentral:rRNA from 1 species
UGGCGAACGGGUGAGUAACACGUGGGGAACUUACCAUAAGGUUUGGGAUACUCCCGGGAAACCGGGCACAAUACCAGAUAUCAUUCCAGGAUGAAACCUCCUGGGAUGAAAGCUGCGAGCAAUCACGGCGCCUUUUGAUGGACCCGCGGCCUAUCAGCUAGUUGGUGAGGUAACGGCUCACCAAGGCUAAGACGGGUAGCCGGACUGAGAGGUUGAACGGCCACACUGGAACUGAGACACGGUCCAGACUCCUACGGGAGGCAGCAGUGAGGAAUUUUGCGCAAUGGGCGAAAGCCUGACGCAGCGACGCCGCGUGGGGGAUGAAGGCCUUCGGGUUGUAAACCCCUUUCAUGGGGGAAAAAGCCCCGAGCAAUCGGGGUGAUGGUACCCCAGGAAGAAGCCACGGCUAACUCUGUGCCAGCAGCCGCGGUAAGACAGAGGUGGCAAGCGUUGUUCGGAAUUACUGGGCUUAAAGGGCGUGUAGGCGUCCCGGUAAGUCAGAUGUGGAAGCCUUGGGCUUAACCCAAGAAUUGCAUUUGAAACUGUUGGGAUUGAGUUAGACAUGGGAGGGCAGAAUUCCUGGUGUAGCGGUGAAAUGCGUAGAUAUCAGGAGGAAGGCCUGUGGUGAAGAUGGCCCUCUGGGUCUUAACUGACGCUGAGGCGCGAAAGCGUGGGUAGCAAACAGGAUUAGAUACUCCUGGUAGUCCACGCCUUAAACGGUGGGUACUAGGUGUGGGUGGCGACAGUCAUCUGUGCCGUAGGGAAACCAUUAAGUACCCCGCCUGGGAAGUACGGCCGCAAGGUUGAAACUCAAGGGAUUGACGGGGGCUCGCACAGCGGUGGAGCAUGUGGUUUAUCG